UGCUCAAGCGGUUUAUGAACACCACUGCGUUUUGGGGCAUGCAAUAAUUUGCUUUUAGAGGACACGACGAGAGGGAAAGUUCCGCCAACAAGGGCAACUACAAGCAGCUUGCAGAGCUAAGUCCCCUCCUGUUCCCUGAUUUAAGAGGUGAUGACUACUCCACUCCACUACCAUUGUCAACUUUCUCUUGACAUGAACUGAAGCCACGUCUCAUCCACUGGCAUAUUGAAUGUUUCCUCUCCAAGCACUUCAAAUCCUGAACACCUCAACUCAUGCCUCAUACCCUCAUUCAAUCACUUCUGUGAUCCCUUUCCAACACUGUGUAAGUAGCCCUCUCA